CACUGUAAUGGUAGUGUUUUUAAUGUGCUUUUAUAUGACAUAUUUCACAGUAAUCACAUUUACUGUACCAUGCUUGUAAUACCUUUUUAAUGUAAAUAAAAAACAUUUUUCCCAUCUUGCAGUUCAAUUCAUAUUAGUUUAUAUCUUAAAUAUUUUGCCCACAGAUCACUAUUAACAUUCUGUAUAUAAUUCUGUUUAAUUUCUUUCCCCUUGUAUUUAUUUUUUAGCUGAAAAGACAUAAAGGAAGCAGUCACCCCAGUGGUGUUUGUGGAGAGGUAUUCCUUCAGAAAUGGAGAAGACAGAAAGCUGCAGAGGCAGGAUUGUUUGCAGAUAAUGCUGUUCUUCUUUUUCAGAAGUUUUUGGUGAGCCAACUCUCACAAACCUUCCUAAAAACUAAAAGAGCUAUUACUGAGUCUCGGCUAAUCUUGCCAUGGUCAGCUCUUCCCAGAAGAGAAGGAAGACCAAGGAAAUUAUUUGCUCAGGAUGAGAAAUGAAGAUGGCCAUCUUGUGCUCAAACAAACAGAAGUCCUCUGAUGAUCUCAUCAGCCAAAUGAGGGGUUUUGAACAAGUGAUGCUCUUGAAAGGAGUGAAAGAAGAGGAUGUGGUAAAUUGUCUUAAAGCAGCUUGAAGAAUGGUCUGGGAUGUUAGGACUGAGAGAUCCUCUGACUGAGAGAAGCUACACCACAUCAGUGCUGGAUAUCAACCACAAACUGUUUCCAGACACGAGAGAAGAAGAUCAUGAUGGGGAGAUGAAACCAGUUUAGAUGUGAUGAUAAGGAAUCAUUAUUUUCUGAAACAGGAUCAAAUGUCUUAUAUGUAUCACAUGAUCUGUAUCACAGUUGACUGGAUGGGACUGUGUGACUCUUAAGGACAUUUCAUCACUCAUCUGUGUGAACUGAUUAAUAUAUGAGGUUAAUGUAUUUUUGAUUAUGAAUAAUUAUUUUCCUUGAAUCUUAUUUGUCUUGAUGCUACUUUAUCAUCUGUAUAGUCUAUGCUUCAAUAAAAUGAAAAUUGUGAAUAUUGUGUUCUGAAGAUUCUUGGUAAACACAUCAUUUUACUAGGUAGGCUCAUAUGUGUUUAUUU
rnacentral:lncRNA from 1 species